AUCGCUGUGCCAUCCUCACACCUUCCAGAACACUUGCUACUGCAUACUGCCCCAGGGAGUCUUUAAAUUGGAGGUGUACUAGGAAAAAUAUCAUCCUCUGCUUCACACCUUUUUUAAUGCUCUUUCCUCCAAUGCCCACAGUUUGAAAUAAGACACAAGUUGGAUGGACACUUCACCCGACCUAGUGCAGCAGCAGCACUGGGAAUCACAUGUUUUAAAACAAAGACUUUGGGCUUUACACUAAAGUGUAAAGCGUUUGAAGUGUUCAAGCUAGCAAACCUAGGGAUCCUUUUCAGUCAUCCUUACAACUUCAUAUAUUCUAACAAAGGCCCACACCAAAAUACCUCAUGUCUACCCUACAGCUGGGCUGGUGUUUUAAAUGUGAACACUGGUAUUUUAAAGUUGCUAUAAAUAGUAAUUGCAAUUUGAAGCUUGAAUAGUUUGAAGUCCAUCAUUAUGAACAGCUCUGCUAUUUGGAAUUUGGCUCCCCGUCUCUUAGUGACGUUGCUGGGCUUCUGCUGAGUAAACAACCUACCAAGUACUGUCCAGUGUGGACUUGUGUUUUCCUCAGCACUAGAAGGAAGAGGAGAUUGAAAGAACUAAAAGAGCUGAGGGAUAAAUGACAUUUAAUAAACCAAAGCACUCCCUUAAGUCUGCCCUGGGAGACAAAGGGACAGCACUUUAGAACACUGUGUUAUGAUCAGUGCAGGAAUCAUUCCCCACUCUCGGUAUCUGCUCCUAAAGUGCUUCCCCUAGAACAACACAGUUCCCAUCCUUCUUCCCAGUAAUUCACUCUGAGUGUGCCUCAAUUCACAGGGGAGGGAUUACAGGGAAAUUGCAGUGCUUGUGAGGUGCGUUGGCUUGGCAGCCUCGGAUGCUAACGCAGACGACUAUUCGACAGAGACUCUCAGAACAGGUAUAAAACAAUGCAAGCAGAUGUCAUCUCCUCUACAGAAACAGCUCAGCUCUGGAGAAGCUUUCCUUCUGCCUUGGAUCAGGCUCCCCAGGGACAGCGCAGCUUUUCUGCCAACUGAAGCACAAACUGAUCCUGUCUAACCCAGCAUGCUUUUUGUGAUAACUCGACUUGGAGCAUCCACUCACUGCACAGUGACAACUGCCAUCAGCAGCAGCAACCUUCAGCCACUCAGAUGUCUGCUCUGAAGUUCAAAAGAAUAAAAUGCAACCUAUUUGAUUAAAACAAUAUGCAGAGCCUCUUCACUGAAAGUGAUGUUGUGACAAGAUGGACUACAAGGGUGUUUAAUAAAGUUGCAACCUCAGGCAAGAAACCAAGUCUGGCUGCCUUGGUGGGUCCAGCCAGCCCACCUGAGGCUAACUUCGAGCCCUGACCAUGGCACAGAGCUGCUGGGGCAGGAGGACACUGUGUGGGCAACCCAGCUCCAAAAGGGGACUUGGGAGGCAAAACCCUCAUUGCUCACUUCAGAAAUGGAGAAGGGGGAAAUAAUUCACUCUUCAUUUUCUUAAUUCACUCUGUUUUCCUUUCCUUAUUCUCAUUCCUUUCCAAAUGUAUCUCUCAGCCUGCUUUUCUUUUUGCAUCAAGCGUUUAUAUAGCUCCAAUUUCCUGAAAAGCAAUGAGCUUACAUGAAAACCUAGUCACAUUUUAGAUCUAAGUGAAAAAUGCUUGGUUUACUCUGAUAAAUUAAAGCCCAUAUGCAGGAAUUUUUGGUAUUUUACCAAUUGUCUUUCACAAAGCAUUGUCUGAAAUGAACAUUUGCUCAUGAGUUAAUGGGAAAACCUUCUCAUCAGUGUGCUCUGCCUAAUGAGUCACGGCAGCUCCUGCUGGACCAGAGCAGGAAUCCAACUUGGCCACAUCACCAGCCUUGCUCAGUGGCAGGCAUUAGCAGGUGCUUUGGGAAACAAGAACUUCUGAAAUAGCUUUUCCUACGCAGGAGUUGCAAUCCUUAUCUGUUAGAAGAGCAUGUUCCAUGGUGUUGGUCUCACAAAAGUGUUUUAGGAUGUUUGUGGGAGCCUUUGGAUGCCAGGGCUUCUUCAGAGGUGUGUUUAUUUGAGUUUUACACAUGUUAAGGUCCUAAGAAAUGUCUCUUCAAACAAGAUAGUUCCUAUGCAAAUGUUCAUAGCAAUAUUUAUAAACAAUAUAAAUUUGAUUGAAAAAUAAUUUAUUGUGUUCUGGUCUUUCUGCAUGCAGUAAAUGUGGGCUGGCUGACUCCCCUGCUGAGAGGCACCUGGAGCAUCACUGAAGUCUUCUCUGGAAAAUUAAAAGAACAGGAAAAACUUAGGCUGAAGCUGCCAGUUCAGUCCACAGAUGGAGGUGCACGUGAAGCCUUCCCACUGGAACUCUCCCCUCACACGUGCCUGAUCUCAGUGCUGGAGUAAUUAAUUCUCGUGUCCUCUCAACACGUCCCCCCUCGUUACCAAGACCGUGAUGAUACUGGAUGGUGUCUUGUCUAGUAUAUUAAAAUGCAGAUUACGUGACAAAAAGACCUUCAGCAUCCAGAACUGUCAGUCCAGCACAUUUCAGCUCCUGCUGGUGCUGGCUGGAGUCUCCCACGUGUAGGGAGCUGAAUAUCUGAGCAGGGAUCUGUGGCACAGAUAUCAGGACAUUGUAGUCUUUAGUCACUGCUGGCACACAAGCAAAUAGAGAGAGAUUUUUCUUCAGUCUCUUCUGUGAUAUCCUGAAGACAAAGCACCUUUACUCUCUCCUCAAGAAACUCACCAUGUGCUUCAGUGGAGGAAAAAAGUCAGGAAUAAUUAAAGAAGACAUGUGCUGUCCAAACUUCUGACAGUUAAUCAGAGAUCAUCUGUCAGACUCUUGAGGUGUCUAUCUGACCCUGCCAAAGGAAAGCUCCAAGCAGAUCCUGCUAGACUGCCUUUACUUUACUGGGGGUGGAAAUAUUUUUAUAUCUGAUUUGACCUUCUUUCCACUUCUGACACAAGAAGAGUCACAAGCUGAAUAAAGCUUACCUGAAUCCAUCCUAUAGAAGCAGAAGCAAGGGCAUGUAAGACUACUCACAACCAGAUUUAAUUAGGACCCAUUUUGGAUAACAAAACUGAAUUAAAAGAAGGGCAAAAGGAAAAAAUCCAGCCCUCACUCAGUCCCACACAGAAGAUGUUGCAUACAUGAGUAUGUGUCAAAGUUACUCUAAGGACUGGUUUUAACUUGGAAAUAGGUGUUGCUUAAUAGAGACUUUACAGUUUCUGAAAAAAAAACCCCAAUAUGCAAAGACACUCACAGACAUUUUCUUGUCUCAUGUUUAUACACUUCUCUCACUCAGGCUGAGAAAACAAGCACGACAUUUGUUCUGCAGAAGUAUUUAACACUUUACACAUUGCUAAGAGUGAACAAAGUUUUACAAGUCCUUUUCUAAGAGCCUCCAGCACAGCUGCUCUUGUCUCCCUUGGGUAAGAUCCCAAGAAUCCUCUUUAAAGGAGUGUUAAGCCUGGGAAGUUCUGAGGUGCACCUGGACAGUAACCACCCUUCUCCUGCUGACAGCUUCUCUUGAUGACAUGUAGUGCACCUUAACCUUGCAGGUCUAAACACAACUGUGCCUUUUGAUAGAAGGCCACAGUCCAGCUCCAAUUUACUUUUAUUUAUUGGCUGACCUGGCCCAUAAAUAGGAGGUGAUUACACAGAGUCAGUGAUCAAAGCUAAUGCUAAGGAAAAGUUCAAGGCUAUUAACAAAGAGGCCACAACUAAGCAGCCUUUUAUUGAACACCUUCUAAUAUUCUGAGGAUUUUUUUCUUUUUAAAUGAGACCAGAUAACCAAACUUGUGGGGGCACCACAAAACUAUUACUGGAUGCCAUUUAAAUCUUGCCAUUUUGCUGACACCUGUUGUUAGAAAUAAAAAAUAAGGUUAAAUCUGGUCCCAUAAAACAAAAGAAAAUUUUUGAUUGCAAGUCAAUCCACAGAAUACCUGAAGCAAAGAAUUUUAAAAAACCCCAACUUUUAAAGAAUGGAGUGUCACGGAUAUUCUUCCACAAAAAUAACUCAUGUAAUUUAUGGUCUCCCAAUCCUAAGUUGUAUCUGUGAUUCAGACAGGGAGAAAUCUAAUUUAUGUGGACAUAUCUUAAAAUAACAAUCUUGAAAAUAAGCAGGAAAUGUAUUUUCUCAAAAUAAAUUAAGUGGAAAAGGUCUACUUCUCUUGUGACAAUGAUGAGACUGCUUUCCCACAGUUUAUGUAUGUUUCUUGUUAGAAAACAAGAGGAUAAGAGGUUAGAAAGAGGAUAUUCUAAGCUAAACCACAAUUAUUUUACCAAGAAACAUCCUUGUGCCCUUACAGGAAUGUACCAUAAACUGAGGAGCUGGAUGUGAUAGACAUUAUUGAGCAAACAAUUGUUUCCUCCAGAGAAUGUCAUAUUAUGUGUCCUAUACAAUGCAACACAAUUCAUUUCACAAUGGAUUUUUGCAGAAAUACCUCGCUAUUCACAGAAGUUAUGUAACACCAGAGCAUCCUAUUGUGGAGUGCUUUGAUGGGAGGGAAGUGGUGCAAGCACAGGCAUAGAUGAAAAACUGAGCUACAAAACUUUCUGUGUCAGCACUGAGGGUACUGGACACAAGCUGGGAGCUGGCAGUGAGUAGAAACUCUCCUACUGCAGGCAGCACAAGGAAUCUGAACUUUUUCAGUGCAGCUCCAAAGUGGACAUGGGGCACACUGCAGAGCCUGGCAGGGUGAGGGGGAACUGCUGCAAACAGCAGAGAGGGGAGAGCAGAAUCACACAAUGAUUUGGGUCAUUGAGUCCAACCCGUGACCCAACACCACCUUGUCAACCAGACCAGACCGCUGAGUGCUGCAUCCAGUUGUUUACUGAACUCCUCCAGGGAGGAUGUGUCCAGUACCAACUUGAGCAGCCCAUUCCAAGGCUCAAAAACCCUUUCCAAGAGGGAAUUUUUCCUGAUGUCCAGCCUGAAGCUCCCCUGGCACAACUUAAGGCUUUCCUCUCUUCCUGUCACUGGUUCCUUGGGAGAAGAGGCUGACCCCCACCUGGCUACAACCUACUUUCAGAGAGCAAUAAGUUCCCCCCUGAGUCUCUUUCUCUCUAAACACCCCCAGCUGCUCUUCACAGGACUUACUUGAAAUGGUCACUACACCUAUCAAUACUGGAAGCACAAAAAAAUGACAAAAACAUUAAUUCCACUUCACACCUGCCAUGGUAAUCGCAAUGGUUCUUCUGGUUCUUGCACAAAAUUGGUUUGGAACUUAGGAUGGAUUUCUGUUGUUGUUAAGGGUUUUGGGUUUUUUCUUCUGAACUGAAAUGAAAACAAAAAUUCCUGAAAAAAUGAAGCUCUGACCUUUGUCCAUGUCAAAAGACAGUGUUAAGGCUCAGGAAUCAAUUGCAGGAACUAAGGCAUGGCACAACAUCAGCAGCUCACAGGAGCAGGAUGUGUAGUUUUAUGGCUGAUUGUGAAGCAAGGGACACUCUCUGAUUUGCUGUUGACUCCAGAAUCGUUCCAAAGACAAAUGAAGUGUAAUAGCACAUCACACCAUGAUUGCAUGUUGAUGCCACUUCCUGAAGUGAUGUGAUGACACCGUGGUAGGACCAUUAACCCAUCUGUCACUUUCUGCAUUUGUCUCAAUCAAACUGACAGGAGCAUUGUGUAAAUAUGACUUUGGGCAACGUGAGCCCAGCCUUACAGACCUGACAUAGAAAAAGGCAGCUGGCAUUGAGAGGAGGGACAGACACGACACAGACAUAUGCCUGAAAGUAGGACUCUUGCUAGAGGACAUUUAAAUAAAAGAUUUGUCAUUCCUCUCAAGCAAUUUGAGAUUUUUGCUAAGGCACCCUAAAGAUGGCUGUGAUUUUUUGACAAUCUGCCUGCACGUAUUGUACAGAGCAUCACACUAAGCACCAGGAAAAGCAAAUUCCUCUGAGGAACAUGCAUUUAACUGUAGGCACUCCUGAAAAUACUGCUGCACCACUGGUAGGUUUAGAAAUACUCUUCAGGACUAUUAAGAACAAUGUUUUGAAAAUACUGUAGCCCAUCUCUUGAUCAAAAUUUCCAUUUCAACUAACUGAAAUUCUGGUGGCUUAAGAAUUAUAAGGCCUUGUUUGAAAAUGGCAAUACAGAUCAGAACUGAAUCUCCAAAAAUGCAACAAGUGCUAUUAUAACAUUAUCUUCUUUGUACUUAGCUAAAUAAAGAUAAAAAUAUCCAGUUACUGUGUAGACAUUACUGUAGAAAAAUGAAAUAAUAAUUGAAUAUAUGUCUGCAAAUUUUUCUCCUUCUUGCCUUCCCUUUUUGUUCUAGUGCAUUAAAGUGCUCAUGGAACACAAUUUUUCUGCUGCCUUCUAACAGAUUUUGGUCCAUUGAAGUGUCAUCCAUCUUGCAAUGUAAAUAAUGAAUAGGUACAGAACAGCUUCUAGAGGUGAAGAAAAACAGAACAUUUUCUGGAGCUCCAGAAAAAAACCACAGAACACCAGCUAGGACACUGACAUUUAGAACUAGUGUGCAGAAAUAGAAAAUAAUGAAAACUAGUAUUUAAAAGACCUGAGGACUAGUGACAGACUUAAGACUGAAAACCAAUAGAAAUCAUAUUGCAAUGAUGCACUCAAUGAGAAUUGCUCUCUUUCCUAAUAUUGUUUCACUAAUGAAAGGACUAGAAGUGUUAAAUUCUAGAACAUUUCAGGGUAGAGCAGAUAAAAAGCCAGCAGUUGUUUAAUAAUUACUAACUAGAGGCUAGAAAUAGGAACUAAGAGUCACAGAGCCCACAGCAAUACUGCCUUGGGGACACAUUUUUUCCCCCCAGUCUCUAAUGUCCUUCAGUGUCCCAAAAUUUCCUCUCUCCCUGGGGGAAAAAAACCCCAAACCACUAUUAAUUUCUCUAUUCCCUGCUACCCGUUUUUUAUCCCCAACACCGAGACUGUUUGUUGAUUUAGCUGCCCAAGUAGCAUUUGCUCAGGAUCAGCUCCAUGACCCUGGUGACAGUGAGCCAGCCCACCACGGUGGCCAGCAGGAGGAGGUGACAUCCCCUACCUACACUACUCUCAGCUCUGCCAGACCAUUUAUUUCCAGAUCCACACAGCUGCCUUGUCUCUGAGGGAACAGGGAAAGGGGGGAUCAAGCCACUGAAGUAGGAGCAAAAGGAAGCUCAUGGGCAGAGGGAACCUCCAGCAAGCACGGACACCAAAAAUGUGCCUCCAGCGGGGCCUUUGGUGCUGCUUCUCCCAAAAGUGCAUUCAGAGCAGAAAGAACAAAUUGUGGAGGUCUUGUGCGAGCUCACCUGUUUCCUACUGUUUCAA